GCCUAAGGCAGGGCUAGUGACUGGGGUGAAGUCGUAACAAGGUAGCCGUACCGGAAGGUGUGGCUGGAUCACCUCCUUAAAGGGAGACCUAAUUCAGGUAUGGGACGAAAAAAAAGUAGUCGCUACCAAGAAUCAAUCCCAAAAGGUCGGAACGAGGUAUGUGGCUUUCAAACUAGGUUCUGGGUUCACACAAGACCUGAAUCAGGAACAAGGGCUAUUAGCUCAGGUGGUUAGAGCGCACCCCUGAUAAGGGUGAGGUCCCUGGUUCGAGUCCAGGAUGGCCCACCUGCACAGGUGGCAAAAACAAAGAAGCGAGGAAUCAGCACCUGAUCUUGCUUAUAUAGUAAGAGAGAAUGCUG
rnacentral:misc_RNA from 1 species